rnacentral:lncRNA from 1 species
UCAUGAGGUCAGGAGAUGGAGACCAUCCUGCCUAACAAGAUUUCUCCAAAAGACUCUUUAAAUCUCCUACCUGGAAGGUGAGGCUCUGGCUGCCACAGUUCCAGGGCCCAGUGGAGAUAGAAAGCCAGAAGUCUCCAUAUUCAAGACUAAGAAUGAGGUUUUAAUUUAGGUAUGUACCCAUGAACCAUCACCACAAUCAAGACGGUGAACACAUCCAUCACUCCUCAAAGUUUCCUUGUUCCUCUUUAUAAUCCGGCCCUCUUGCCAUCCCCAUCCUCUACACUCCAAGCAACCACUGAUCUGCUGUCACUAUUGAUGAGUUUGCA